rnacentral:lncRNA from 1 species
GAAUUUUUACAAAAUGGAAUAAUUUAAUGCAAACAAUACUGUUCUUUGUAUAAAUUAAACAUUUUCCUUCAUCCUAAGAGCUAUAAAUCACAGACACUACAUUUUAAAUCAAUGUAUCAACAUAAAGUGUAAACAAAUGGAUCAAACAAGCAAAAGGAACUCUAAAUUCCCUCCUGCCUUUCCUUUUUGGCUGAUGCAAUCAGUAAAACCCAGAGGAGCGGCAACAUUUUCAUGUGCAUUGGAAAUGGUUUAACAGCUGUCUGUGCAAGUAUUUCCUAACGUCCAACAUGAUGCAGUGUCAAAGAGUCCAGUGAAUCUAGAGAGGUUGUUUGACGUAAUCUAUCUUGGAGACAGGGACAGGUACUAGGUCAACACCUAUUUGUACAUAAAAUUCUAAAAAAAAUUUUCCUUAAGGCCAAGGCACCAUGAAGUACCUUGGAAUGCUUUUCAGAGCCCAUGACCCUGGAGACAGGCAGGACCUCAUGCUUUUGGCAAUGUAAAAAUCUUUCCUAUCCCUGCUCAGCAUCCCUUGUUCUUUCCACAAAUGUUCAAAUCCAGUUAUUUAAAACUGCAUUGAUUUGGAGUGAAGUAAAAGAUAUUUUACAAGUAGCAUUGAACAAAAAUGCUGUUGUGCUGGGAGAGGAGUUGCCUUUUGCAAGCUGCUUGUUUUUGCCUUUAUUCUGACAGUGGUAGCCAGUCAUUAAGACUUCUAAGAUAGGCCGGGCACAGUGGCUCAUGCCUGUAAUCCCAGCACUUUGGGAGGCCGAGGCAGGCGGAUCACCUGAGGUCAGGAGUUUGAGACAAGCCUGGCCAACAUGGUGAAACCCCGUGUCUACUAAAAAUACAAAAUUAGCCAGGCGUGGUUGCGGGCGCCUGUAAUCCCAGCUACUCGGGAGGCUGAGGCAGGAGAAUAGCUUGAACCUGGGAGGUGGAGGUUGCAGUGAACCGAGAUUGUGCCAUUGCACUCUAGCCUGUGCAAAAAGAGCAAAACUCUGUCGAAAAACAAAAACAAAAACAAAAAAAAACCCAACAAACCAAAAAAAAAAAAAAAAAAAGAACUUCUAAGAUAGAAUGAGUUAGUGAAUAAAAACAAAGGGAUGGUUUGGGCUCAGACAUUGUAUAGACACACAUACAUCCUAGCUGCCUUCAAAGUCUGUUCUCCUGCUUGAAUCAAUAUGACUCAAGUAGACAAGCAACCUGGCUCCAGAGAGGGGUGAUUCCAUCUUCUCCUCGUAGCUGGACUGAGUGAUCCUGAGAAUGGAGUUUUAUAAAUUGCACGUUCGUUUUCCUAACACCACUGUAGAUGUUCUUCCUCUCUUAGCCUUUUCUCCUCCUCAGUACUGCCCCCCAACCUUUGUUCCUACAGGAAGUGGUCAGCAGGCAGAAAGGAAAUGAGCUACAAGGAAAUGGCACUUGAGUAUGAAAGAUCAACACGUUGGGUCAAGGUAGCACAUUUGCCAAGAGGAAGCACACGCCCUUGAAGACGUUGGGUGCAAGUAUCUGGUCACCAGACUUUUCUAGGUCAUUUCCGUAAGCCACCUGGACAAGCUGGUUGAAGUGAAUAUGGUCUGUUCACAAGUUGCCUGGAAUUGCUUUUCUUUUGCUGUUCUUUGUGUUCUAAAAUGUUCAAUGUCUUGCUCUGGCUCUUCUUUAGUCACUUAUGGCCAAAAGACCUGGUCCCCUGUUCAAGCAGCAAUAAUACCUCCCGGCCCCACAAAUUCCCAAGGAUGUUGCUCUUAAAUUCCACUUAUUUCUUUUUUUCUGUUCUUUCAUCUCUUUUUUUUUUUGCAAGAAAUUAUUGUCUCUCUAUCUCAUACAUAGUUCACUCUUUGCAGUACAAAGUGUUAAAAUGUCAAACAAAAAUAAAUAUCAAUGUUACAGUAGCUAGAAUAUUCAAUAAAAUAGAUCCCUGCCAUUCUUGAUUGAAAUGUUCAGUGAGACUUAAUUUCAUUUGGAUAUUAUUUUCCAGAGAUUUGCGAAGUCUCAUGUUCCUGUUAUUGCAGCUCAUUUCUAGGGGGUGGUAAAGAUGGGGUAGUCUCUCUUCCCAGACAAAAUGCUGGGAGAGAGUGGGAUGAGUCUGGGGGUGGGGUGGAUCUGAAAUGCCAGUAUAGUCACGAGAUCUUCAGGAUGUGUAUUCCUUCAUUACCAGGUAGCAGAGCUGUAGUGUUUAUUGGUCCUAACUGUGGCAUCAGAACACUCCCCAUCUGAAGAGUCACAGUCCGAUUCUUCAAACUGCAUGGGGUUCUGCAAAGGCAAGACAAAAUAAAACCUUAAUUCAUUUCUAUAAUCACUCAGUAAAUAUAUGUGAAACACCUCCCACACAACAGGCACUGUGCUUGGUAAGGGGGCUACAAAGGUAAACGAGACCAGGUCCUGUCCUUGUGGGGCUUAUGGAGAAAGAAAACACAUGAUGAUUGUGAUUGCUACGACAAUAAAAACAGUGCCCACCACACAACCACUUAUAUAGCGUU